AAAAAAUUAGUUAAUUUUAAUAAUAUGGGAUUGUCAGUCCCAAGUAGCUUUUUCAAAGUAUUUUUUG
rnacentral:tRNA from 1 species